GAUAACAUAGUUUAGUAUAAAAUUCCUAUUUUACACGUAGGGGAUGGAAGAUUUCCUGUUAUUA
rnacentral:tRNA from 1 species